ensembl:lncRNA LOC102554278 uncharacterized LOC102554278
CGGGUCUACACUAAGCCCCUGUGCUCCUGCAGCAUUUGGAUGUUUCAGAGAUGAAGCCUGGCAUGAUGGUAGUGACUGAGCUGUCAGUAGUAUAAGAACAGAAGAUUACUGAGGAUUAGACAACAGUGAUCUCAGAAUGCUUCAGACUACCCAAAAGUGCUAGAAAGGAGACAAGAUUUUCAGGUGAAGAACAACAGGAAAGGUACAUGUCACUAAGAGCUCAAAGUACAACUAUGCGGCAGUCAGUUCUCUUCCACUGUUUGGAUCCUGGUCAUUGACUCAGUUUGGCUGUUGGCAAUUCUACCUGCUGAACCAUUUUACCAGCCACAGACUUAACAAUGUUUAUUUGAUAUAAAAGUAACUUUUAUCUGCC